rnacentral:piRNA from 1 species
UGCCAGAGCUGGCCAACUAUGCCAAACAGU